GAAGGGGUAACGGAUCUAACAGAUAAAAGUCUAACAGGUAAAAGGCUGAAUAACUUGUAAGAAGGAAAUUGCAGUUUUCAAGGAAGAAGCUUUAAGGGUUUGGAACUUCUCAAGUACUCACUAGUAGUUGUUCCCCAUUUACUUGUCCAGAUCUAAGAUGGUGAAGGCCCCAACAAUCAUCUUCCUGUAGUUUAUGAAGCAGUUAAUUUAUGUUCGGACUAUCAGACAAAUUGUUUUGGAGCCACUCCGCUUUCUCUUGGUUCACAUUCUGAAUGAUAAUAGACCUGGAAGACCUCUAAUUUGCUUUGUUGAUGUUGCUACACAGUCAGGAUUCAGCACACAACUAGGAUAUUUAAUUUUUACUCAGAUUUUUUUAUUCUUCAUCAACUCCAAUUUAGGCUUCCAUCUCACCUAAAUAUUUUAAUUCAUUUGUAAAAGCAAAUAAAAUAUUCUGUAAGUGUAAAAGAUGCAGACGAACUCUCUGUAUUAACCAAUUUAUAGGAGUCUCUCUUGGUACAAACAAAGAACAAUCCUGCAUGAAUUAUUUCCUGUUGCUAUUUAGAGACCCUUCGAGACUGCACUUCUUGUUUUCAUAAGACCACCUUGUGUAAUUGAGGG
ensembl:lncRNA